rnacentral:rRNA from 1 species
CCUGAGUACGACGGAGCACGUGAAAUUCCGUCGGAAUCUGGGAGGACCAUCUCCUAAGGCUAAAUACUCUCUAGUGACCGAUAGUGAACCAGUACCGUGAGGGAAAGGUGAAAAGUACCCCGGAAGGGGAGUGAAAGAGAACUUGAAACCGUGUGCUUACAAGUAGUCAGAGCCCGUUAAUGGGUGAUGGCGUGCCUUUUGUAGAAUGAACCGGCGAGUUACGAUCUGAUGCAAGGUUAAGCAGAAAAUGUGGAGCCGUAGCGAAAGCGAGUCUGAAUAGGGCGAAUGAGUAUUUGGUCGUAGACCCGAAACCAGGUGAUCUACCCUUGGUCAGGUUGAAGUUCAGGUAACACUGAAUGGAGGACCGAACCGACUUACGUUGAAAAGUGAGCGGAUGAACUGAGGGUAGCGGAGAAAUUCCAAUCGAACUUGGAGAUAGCUGGUUCUCUCCGAAAUAGCUUUAGGGCUAGCCUCAAGUGAUGAUUAUUGGAGGUAGAGCACUGUUUGGACGAGGGGCCCCUCUCGGGUUACCGAAUUCAGACAAACUCCGAAUGCCAAAUAAUUUAACUUGGGAGUCAGAAUGUGGGUGAUAAGGUCCAUAUUCGAAAGGGAAACAGCCCAGACCACCAGCUAAGGUCCCAAAAUAUAUGUUAAGUGGAAAAGGAUGUGGCGUUGCCCAGACAACUAGGAUGUUGGCUUAGAAGCAGCCAUCAUUUAAAGAGUGCGUAAUAGCUCACUAGUCGAGUGACACUGCGCCGAAAAUGUACCGGGGCUAAACAUAUUACCGAAGCUGUGGAUUGUCCUUUGGACAAUGGUAGGAGAGCGUUCUAAGGGCGUUGAAGCAUGAUCGCAAGGACAUGUGGAGCGCUUAGAAGUGAGAAUGCCGGUGUGAGUAGCGAAAGACGGGUGAGAAUCCCGUCCACCGAUUGACUAAGGUUUCCAGAGGAAGGCUCGUCCGCUCUGGGUUAGUCGGGUCCUAAGCUGAGGCCGACAGGCGUAGGCGAUGGAUAACAGGUUGAUAUUCCUGUACCACCAUUAUUCGUUUUAAGCGAUGGGGGGACGCAGUAGGAUAGGCGAAGCGUGCUGUUGGAGUGCACGUCCAAGCAGUGAGAUUGAGUGUUAGGCAAAUCCGGCACUCUUAAGAUUGAGCUGUGAUGGGGAGAGGAACUUGUUCCUCGAGUCGUUGAUUUCACACUGCCGAGAAAAGCCUCUAGCUAGAAUAACGGUGCCCGUACCGCAAACCGACACAGGUAGUCAAGAUGAGAAUUCUAAGGUGAGCGAGCGAACUCUCGUUAAGGAACUCGGCAAAAUGACCCCGUAACUUCGGGAGAAGGGGUGCUCUUUGAGGUUCACGCUUCGAAGAGCCGCAGUGAAUAGGCCCAAGCGACUGUUUAUCAAAAACACAGGUCUCUGCUAAACCGUAAGGUGACGUAUAGGGGCUGACGCCUGCCCGGUGCUGGAAGGUUAAGAGGAGUGGUUAGCGCAAGCGAAGCUACGAAUCGAAGCCCCAGUAAACGGCGGCCGUAACUAUAACGGUCCUAAGGUAGCGAAAUUCCUUGUCGGGUAAGUUCCGACCCGCACGAAAGGCGUAACGAUUUGGGCACUGUCUCAACGAGAGACUCGGUGAAAUCAUAGUACCGGUGAAGAUGCCGGUUACCCGCGACAGGACGGAAAGACCC